AUCUAUGCACCACUUGGACUUAGAGUCCAAGUGGUUAAGGUAUCUUAAAAUCCUUACAUGCCUAAUUUUCUCCAUGCAUCAUCUGAGUUUAGUGCCUCAAUUAUGGGCCAUUGGAUGUCCACAAGAUACAAGUCUAUCCGUUGGAUAGAAUGGGUGCAUGUGUUGAAGUUUUGCAACUCAUCGAAAAAUAUCGGAGAAUUAUUUUCGAAGAGUCCUUCUACGCUAAGUGACUCAAAUUUAAUUCUUGAUAUUUCCAUAUGUCAUGAAAUUUUUGAAGGGCAUGAGAUUAGUUAAGAGGCAUGAGAUCAACUGGAUAUGCAUGAGAAAUCGGUUGGAUGGGGU
rnacentral:lncRNA from 1 species